GAUGAACGCUAGCUACAGGCUUAACACAUGCAAGUCGAGGGGCAGCAUGGUCUUAGCUUGCUAAGGCCGAUGGCGACCGGCGCACGGGUGAGUAACACGUAUCCAACCUGCCGUCUACUCUUGGACAGCCUUCUGAAAGGAAGAUUAAUACAAGAUGGCAUCAUGAGUCCACAUGUUCACAUGAUUAAAGGUAUUCCGGUAGACGAUGGGGAUGCGUUCCAUUAGAUAGUAGGCGGGGUAACGGCCCACCUAGUCUUCGAUGGAUAGGGGUUCUGAGAGGAAGGUCCCCCACAUUGGAACUGAGACACGGUCCAAACUCCUACGGGAGGCAGCAGUGAGGAAUAUUGGUCAAUGGGCGAGAGCCUGAACCAGCCAAGUAGCGUGAAGGAUGACUGCCCUAUGGGUUGUAAACUUCUUUUAUAAAGGAAUAAAGUCGGGUAUGCAUACCCGUUUGCAUGUACUUUAUGAAUAAGGAUCGGCUAACUCCGUGCCAGCAGCCGCGGUAAUACGGAGGAUCCGAGCGUUAUCCGGAUUUAUCGGGUUUAAAGGGAGCGUAGAUGGAUGUUUAAGUCAGUUGUGAAAGUUUGCGGCUCAACCGUAAAAUUGCAGUUGAUACUGGAUAUCUUGAGUGCAGUUGAGGCAGGCGGAAUUCGUGGUGUAGCGGUGAAAUGCUUAGAUAUCACGAAGAACUCCGAUUGCGAAGGCAGCCUGCUAAGCUGCAACUGACAUUGAGGCUCGAAAGUGUGGGUAUCAAACAGGAUUAGAUACCCUGGUAGUCCACACGGUAAACGAUGAAUACUCGCUGUUUGCGAUAUACAGCAAGCGGCCAAGCGAAAGCGUUAAGUAUUCCACCUGGGGAGUACGCCGGCAACGGUGAAACUCAAAGGAAUUGACGGGGGCCCGCACAAGCGGAGGAACAUGUGGUUUAAUUCGAUGAUACGCGAGGAACCUUACCCGGGCUUAAAUUGCAGAUGAAUUACGGUGAAAGCCGUAAGCCGCAAGGCAUCUGUGAAGGUGCUGCAUGGUUGUCGUCAGCUCGUGCCGUGAGGUGUCGGCUUAAGUGCCAUAACGAGCGCAACCCUUGUUGUCAGUUACUAACAGGUUCCGCUGAGGACUCUGACAAGACUGCCAUCGUAAGAUGUGAGGAAGGUGGGGAUGACGUCAAAUCAGCACGGCCCUUACGUCCGGGGCUACACACGUGUUACAAUGGGGGGUACAGAGGGCCGCUACCACGCGAGUGGAUGCCAAUCCCCAAAACCUCUCUCAGUUCGGACUGGAGUCUGCAACCCGACUCCACGAAGCUGGAUUCGCUAGUAAUCGCGCAUCAGCCACGGCGCGGUGAAUACGUUCCCGGGCCU
rnacentral:rRNA from 1 species